rnacentral:lncRNA from 1 species
UCCCAGGCUAGGGGUGGAAUCGAGCUGCAGCUGCCAGCCUAUGCCGCAGCCACAACAACACAGGAUCAGAGCCAUGUCUAUGACUUACACCGAAGCUCACAGCAAUGCCAGAGUGAGCAGGGGCCAGGGAUCAAACCCGCGUCCUCAUGGAUACUAGUCAGUUUCAUUACUGAUGAGCCACAACAGGAACUCCUGUGGCAUGGUUUCAAUCCCUAGCCAGGAAACUCACACAUGGAGUGUAGCCAAAACAAACAAACAAACAAACAAAAACAGAAAAACUGGAGAAACCCAAAUAAGGUUUAGUUAACAGUAUUGUGCCAAUGUCAAUUUCCUGGUUUUGAUAACUCUGCCGUGGUGAUAGAAGAGGCUAAUAUCUUUGGGGGGACUGGGUGACAGGUACACUGGUUACACUAAUCUUGUGUACGAUCAAUGGUGGGACUACGUUCACAUUUCUAUAUGAGACUAAAAUUAUUUCAGGAGUUCCCAAUGUGGCACCGUGGGUUAAGAAUCUGACUGCAGCAGCUCGGAUCCCACUCGCAGCUCAGAUUCAGUGUCUACCUGGGAAACUUGCAUGUGCCAUGGGUGCAGUCAUAAGAAUAAAUAAAUUCAAUAAAUGAAUAAAUAAAAUUAUUUCAAAGCUGAACAUUUUUAAAGGUGUGGGCUGAGGAGAUGCAUUUAGCCACAGUGCUGAGGGUGUAAACUGAAGAAAGAAAGAAAGAAAGAAGGAAAGAAGGAAGGAAGGAAGGAAGGAAGGAAGGAAAGAAAGAAAGAAAGAAAGAAAGAAAGAAAGAAAGAAAGAAAGAAAGAAAGAAAGAAAGAAAGAAAGAAAGAAAGAAAGAAAGGCAAAGAAAGAAACUAAUGAACUAAACCUCCAUGAAUAGGGGGAAAGUCAAUGUGGAAUGCCUAUACCAUUUAACGCUGUGCAAGCAUUAAAAAAAUAAAGCAGCUGAACACAAAGCUAUCUGCAGUGCAGCUUUAAGUACAAAAUCGGUCACAAAAUAACAUGGAUUUGAGUAGGAAGAUCCUAUUUGCCUAAAAUCUUAUUUAUGUGUACACACUGUACAUGGUUGUAUAAGCAUGGAGCAUGUCUGAAAUGAUGCACCCUAACCCGUUCACAGUGAUUGCUUCUGAAAUGGGAAGUUCUUAGUCCCGGUUGGUAAGUCAGUUUCACUUUGAAAUACAUUACAGUGAAAAUGCGUCGCUUUAACAUAGGAACAACAGACCUUAGAAACAUAAAAGAAAAAAAAAAUCCCUACUGGCUGCCUCCAUCACCCAUCACUGGACCCUUGCCCAUGAGAGACUCCAACAUCCUGUUUGCAGCCAUGGACCUGCAGAGCUUCCUGUGGGAGGAAUUGGACACGUGACUCGCUUCGAAAAUGGAACGUGAGCAGAUGAGACUUGGGCAAGGUCUGAGCACAAGUUUUGCGGAUUGUUUUUGUUUUUGUUUAGGGCCACACACAAGGCAUAUGGAGGUUCCCAGGUUAGGGGCUGAAUCAGAGCUGUGGCCGCUGGCCUAUGCCACAACCAUAGCAAAGCAGGAUCCAAGUGGUGCCUGUGACCUACACCACAGCUCAAGGCAAUGCCGGAUCCUUAACCUACUGAGCGAGGCCAGGGAUCGAAUCUGCAUCCUGAUGGGUAUGAGUCAGAUUCGUUUCCACUGAGCCACCACAGGAACUCCUGAAUAGAAGUUUCAAGUCACUGUCUGGUUCCACCAGCUCUGUGGCUUUUUUUUCUUCGUGUGUCCUGGGCAGCAGCUGCUCCUUCAGCCUGGAACCCAAAACGAAGACACAUGUAGCGGCCACAGCCAACUGGCAAAUGCCAUGUAACAGGGGGGUGAGAAAUAAACCAUCAUGCAGGAAGCCACUGAGAUGUGGGGAUGCUUGUUACACAGCCUUACCUCAUGAAAGCUAAUAGAUGAGAUAAAGGCACCCCCCCCCAAAAAAAAUGAGGGAACUGAUAAGGAGCUGGUGUGUGUUGAUUGAGGGUGUAUUAUGUGAAGAACUUAUACUUGAGGUAAGAGGCACAAGGUUGGGGGGUUAGGGGGAAGCAGAGGGAAUGUAAGAAACAUGCACACUGUAGGGGAUCGGAACCUGCCAUCCCAAAAUACGCUUCUUUCAUAUAAAGAUUAUUUUGAGUUGGAGGCAAGUGAGAAUCAGCAGAUGUAGAAAGAUGCUUUAUCUGACAAAACUUCCAGAAAAUGGGGAUGGCCAUAAAUCCCCACUCCUGGGGAAGCUUUAUGGCCAUGGAGAAAAAGGAAAGUUGGCUCUGAAAUGGACCUGCACAAACAACCUGGACUUCAUUACCUGCCCUUGGAAAGCGAAAACCCUUUUCAUGUGUCUUUUUUUUUUUUUUUCCUUUCUUUUUAGGGCUGCACCUGCGGCAUAUGGAGGUUCCCAGGCUAGGGGUCCAUUCGGAGCUGGAGCUGCUGGCCUACACCAUAGCCACAGCAACACUAGAUCAAGCUGCAUCUUCAACCUACACCGCAACUUGCAGCAACAGCAGAUCCUUAACCCACUGAGCGAGGCUAGGGGUCAAACCCACAUCCUCAUGGAUGCUAGUUAGGUUCUUAUCCCACUGAGCCACAACAGGAACUCCCCUUUUCCAAUGUCUUGUCACUUCUCUACAAACGUGUUGUUCUUGGCAAAGGUGCUCGGGAAGCCCAAGUUCUAACCACCCCUUUGAGUUACUCAUCCCGAGGCUUCUCCAGAGUGAGGCACUGCACCCUUUAUAAACUGCUCUUUCUCUUGUUGGUCUAAUUGAACAAGGCCCUGCUUGGAGAACCUGGGAGGGUGGAAGGAAAAGGUUUUUUCCGGCCCUACAAGAUCAUCUACUUGGAAGAUGAUGCUCGCACAGAGAGAUGCCCACACACUGGCUUGGGGCCAGGGCAGUGAGGACAGCCUGCCACUGGGGAGGGGAGGAGGCCCAUCGGGGUAGGAGGGAGAUUCUGGAGAUGGGCCAAGUUUCAGGUUCAGCAUCUAAAGCUCACACAUAGUAACAGGGCUGACUGGGGCAUUCUAAUAAAGCAUGAAAGCCAUCAGCAGCCGUAUACUCACCCUCUCCUUCAAACCAGAGGUUGCAAGAAAACACCCACCACCUAGAGAUCCCGUGUGGUGCCUUUUGUUGCUGGGACAUGUACUCUCCAUACCGGGUUCUGUGUCAACUGGAAAUGAACUGUAUUUCCAGAAACCAGCGGUUUCGCAUUGGAACAAAGCCCAUCUUGGUGCAAAAUGCAUUCCCUUAAAGGAAACAAAGGGCCAUGAGCUAGAAGAAGGUAUAAAUACCAAGUUUGCCCAUCGCCUCUUCUUGCGGCGCGUUACCACGGCUCACUCAUAAUCUGCUUCGGACACACAGGUCACUUGCAAUUCUCUUCUCCAAAUCUGGACCUUUCUGUUUAAAAUCUUGCCCCCUCCCCUUUUCGAAAAUGACACAAGGAAGUCAUGACUAGCUUUCCUGGGUAAAAGAUGCAGACCCAUAAGUACGUCUAGCAAAAUGUGCAAGUCCCUUGACCAGGAGCCUCUGCCCUCUCCUGGGCGACACACACACACUUGCCAGCUCUUUGCUGUGAGCAUUUGCUCACCUAGGGGCACACAUGCAUUCACACAGCCUUUGUUUUUUGCUGUUUGUUUGUUUGUUGUCCUUUUAGGGCUGCACUCACAGCAUAUGGAAGUUCCCAGGCUAGGGGUCGAAUCAGAGCUGUAGCCGCCAUCCUACGCCACAGGCACAGCAAUGUGGGAUCUGAGCCACAUCUGUGACCCACACCACAGCUCACAGCAAUGCCUGAUCCUUAACCCACAGUGGGAGGCCAGGAAUCAAACCCAUGUCCUCAUGGAUACUGGGGGCUGGGGGGUUGGUUCCCGCUGAGCUGGGACAGACACUCCCACACAGCCUUUGUUUGCUUCCCUCCCCGCCUUUCCCUUCCUCGACACCACCCCCCAAAGAGG